rnacentral:rRNA from 1 species
AGAACGAACGCUGGCGGCAGGCCUAACACAUGCAAGUCGAACGCUCCAGCAAUGGAGAGUGGCAGACGGGUGAGUAACACGUGGGAACCUUCCCUAUGGUUCGGAAUAGCUCAGGGAAACUUGAGGUAAUACCGGAUAAGCCCUUCGGGGGAAAGAUUUAUCGCCAUUGGAUGGGCCCGCGUCGGAUUAGCUAGUUGGUGGGUAACGCCUACCAAGGCAACGAUCCGUAGCUGGUCUGAGAGGAUGAUCAGCCACACUGGGACUGAGCACGGCCCAGACCUCGACGGGAGCAGCAGGUGGGGAAUAGUUGGACAAGUGGACGCAAGCCUGAUCCAGCCAGUCGCCG